AACUUAUUGAUGGUCUGCCGCUCAUAACGGUCUGGUUGCAGGUUCGAGUCCUGCCGGGCCCA
rnacentral:tRNA from 1 species